rnacentral:misc_RNA from 1 species
AACUGAAAAGAUCGCACCAUCUGUGCGGUCGACAACUCAAGUCCUGCCAUUGUUCUGCAGGUGUGUGUGCAUAGGGGUGGGUUGUGCACGAGCUAGCUCGCCUCAAAUCGCCCCUCUCAGCCUUGGUGCGAUCUUAGCAGGGAGAAGAGCAAAAAGGGCGGCCACCGGUGCCUCUUAGAAGAUCACAUAGGGAGAAGAAAGGGUUUAACGCUAUGCAGGCAAGCGCCUACACGCCACAAUCCUCUCCUUCCCUCCUUUCUUCCUUCCCUUCAUCUGUAUCGGACGAGACUAUCAAACCUCCAUCACUCUUACCUCAUCUGUUGUCUCGCUCAGAUAUGUCCGAUAGUGGCAGCGUAGCGCGCUAUCCCCUGGUGCGUGUGAGGGGAGGGGCAGCGAUGCUCUUCACCGCCCUGGUCAGCUCUCUUCCGCCGCCGGCGCAGGUAGCGCUUCGCAGAGUCCUUUUGGUCAUCCCCGUCAUGGCCGUGGCAAAGGUGCAGCGGGCUGCCGCAUUGAUGUUUACGAGGCGGGUGCUUCUUCCCCUCCUCACCGACGCCUUCCCAGCAGUCUGUGGCGCCCUCGAAGGAGUCAAGCUUAACUCGUCAUCCGCCACGCUGAUCGCAGCGCUAUCGCGUGCCGUGAUCGCCUACUCUCUCGCGGCGAAGCUGAUGAAGGCGGACCAGGCGGCCUCGCUCGCGUUUACGACGGGCACCGCUGCGUGUCUCUUUAGCGAAGAGGAACACCUUCGUCGCCUCCUAGGCGCUGUGGUGGACGCCGAAGCGUCAUCGCUGCCCUCGGCGCUGCUCAGCGCCCCGCGUCCUGCUCCGACUGCCGCUGCGCCGCGAAUGUGCUCGGCAUUCUUUUCCACUACUACGCCUGUUGCAUUGAAGGCUUACCUGCGCCAUGUGCACGCGCGUCCUAGAGCCUCUCACGUUACCAUUUUCGUGCCUGGGCUACUCACAGCCCCGUGGACCACGCACCUUAUCCCCUUAUUGCGCGACCUCUUUUGCCGCCAGGGCACGACAGUCGUUGGGUACGACAUCUGCGCUGACGCAGAGCACUAUGACGUGGACCUGCGUCACUUGCACGACCGGAUCCGGCAGGAGCGCCGAAGCACAGCAGACUCGUCGGCGUUACCGCCCGCGUCGAGCGCAGCGUCACCAUUCGGUGUGUUGGUCCUCGCCAGCAUUCGCGGCCGCCGCGUUCGCAAUGGUGAUAAGGCGUGCGUAUUCGCCAAGAUGCAUGGAUGGCAGGUCGUGGAGCUGUGUGUGCCAACGUUGCCGUUGGAUGCGGUGCAUGACUUGAACCCGCAACGUCGUCCGCAGUGGGUGAGAGCGCGCCAGGUGCAGUGCGCCACGUCGUCUGUGCGCCCGGAUGUGCGCCUCACCGCCUUCGACGACGCCGGCAUGUACGGCGGGGCGGUCGUGGAGCUGUGUAACGACGACAAUGCCCUUCUGCUGCACAUGAAGAGUCAGUGUCAGCCAGGGCUGGUGGUAAGCAGCGUCGAUGGCACGGCCGGACAGGCAAAGGCGCGCAACUCCCACCGCCCCGCCGCAGCGGUGACGCCGCGCACGCUUCCAUCUUCUGCUGUCAACGCGACGCUUGACGCGGCCUCCGGCACCAGCGAGUUCAUCAGCAAAGUCUGCUGUCCAUGGGCGCGCCGGCUUUGCGCCGCCGCCUGGCGCGAGGCGUGUACGCUGCAUCAGGGCUCGGUUACGGCGCAGGAGGCCGUGGCGGCGCUCUGCCGCUUCCCCCUGCAGACGUUUCCGAAGGUGCCCCUACGCGCGCAAGCGCAGCUACGGCGGCUGUUAUCGCCCCGCAGAGGCAGUGUCACCACGACCGGCGACGACAGCGCGUCUGGUAGCGCAUCGCACCACGUCUCCGCUAACACGCCAGUCGAGCAGCGCACCACCUAUAUCACGACCCCCCUCGCCGCCGUUUCGCUGCUCGCCGCACCACAACCCCACACCGCCUCACCAGUCGGCACCGACAGCGACCGAGGAGGUGAGGGAUAUCUCACGGUGGAGAAGACCACGUCGCCCGCCAGAGCAGCGGCCGCGGCUCUCACGGCGCCGGAGGAAGCGCUCACGAACUGGGCAGUGGAGCGCCGGAUCCGACUGCGAUGGUCGUCGUUGCUCAUGUCGCUAACUUUUGCCGCUGGCGGCGCACCUAGAGUGGCAGGCGACGCUGCCGCGGCCGUCCGCACCUCCGCGGCGUAUCUCUCUCUGUGGUCCUUCGUCGCACAACUGCCGCCGUGGGUAGUGGCUGUCUCGGCCGCGGACGACGGCGAAACCGCGCGUGGCGAACGCCGCAGCAGUUGCUGCGUCGAGGCCUUCGCCACAGCGCUCCUCGUGCGCGUCGCCUCCCCCGCCUCCCCUAGGGCCGUCGCCGAGCUCCUUCGGGACGAAGCUCUAGUUGACGCGGCAGCGGUGCGCCCGCGCGCAUGGGAUUCCUUGGCGACCACACCGAACUCGGCCGGGGAGGAGGCGCUCAAGUUUGAGGAUGCCGUUGUUUUUCCGGGAUGUGACCGAGCAACUCGGUUGAGCGAGGAACUGCUGUACCUCCCGCUGUCACCGGAACUGCCCGUUAGCGUGCGAGCUGCAAUGCUGCGAGUCCUGUGGAACGAGGUUCCGCACGCCGGAGACGCUGCUAGUGCUUCUGUACACUCGAGCUGGCUCGAGCGUAGCAAGGCUACGGGUGCUUUAUCAGCUCACGUGCAGGCAACAGUGAACUCCAUUUACCAAAUGUAUCUUCCUCAAGCGCAACGGGGGCGCGAUGGCAAGGCGCUCUCCUCAGCAACUAGCGCCGGCAACACUCUCCUCAGCGUCAUCGCACGGGGCCACAGCGGCGGCAGCGUUGUGUCAGCGCAGGAUGCAGAGAAAGUUCAGCAGUUCCUGUUCGACGGUGUAACCACCCCCUCCGUAGCGCCGUCGCUGUCGGCAGGUGCGGCCCUCAAGUCUCUCGUGCAAACCCUUACCCCAGCGGUGAUGUCAAACCUUUGAGGGUGGCGAGAGAGAGUCGGGCGGAGCCGGCGUGGUGCGUGGAUGUGCUGCAGCUUUCACACCCUCUUGUCCCACUUGCCCUUAAGUGCUCUGCUCUCCGUAUUCCCUUCUUUGCGUGUGUGUGCGUCUUCGGCGACCGCACAUAUCAGGAAUGAUGUUAGGGGCUCUUCAUGAU